rnacentral:lncRNA from 1 species
CUCUUUUUGAAAUCAUCCUGUUCUUCAACUCAUGUCUAAUUAAAAACAAUAUUUCUCUUGACUCAUGCCUUUGUUUUUGAAAGUAUUUAUGCAGCUCUAAUGUUUUCAUCAGGUAUCAGGUUUAGAAGUUUCAUAAUGUUUUCAUCAAAGGGAUUAGAAACCCCUUUUUUUUAAUGAAAAAUGAAUUUUUCCUCUAUAGGAUUAUACUUAGUUUUGCUGGUACUGUUUGUCCUUCGUUUUUGAAGAGGACCAAUGACAUCAUGGAGUGAUGUUCACUCAUGAGCAAAUUGGACUUCAACGAAACAGAGUUGUACAAAGUCACCAGCCUCACUCUUUCUUCCAGUCAUCAGAGUGCAGUGGAAAAGGGAACAAAAGAGCCAUUAUACAGUGCCAAGAAGCACAAGGUCAAAAGAGAGGAACCAGUCCCAGUGGGGUUGCUGAGAAUCUGCACAGGGCCUAGGAGCACAAAGUCAAAAGGACCAAACUAAUCUAGGUAGGAUUGAUGAACUUCUAAGCGAAUACGAAAGGACUUAAACCUAGUUUGAGACUUGAGGUUGCAGCACUUGACAUAUGUUAAGACACAGGAUGCCUUGUACCACACUACUUGUGAAAUACUCACAGACAAGUACCUGAAGUUUGGCUAUCAUCCUGGCUCCCCCUAUCCCUGAGAGUGAAGGUAAAAUCAGACCAGGGAAUGACACUUCCCUAUCACACAAAAAUCUAUUCCUUUUUUUCUCUCUUAUAGCAUUGCAAUUUCCUGUAGUCUUGGCUACAAAUGGCUAAGUGAAAUAUUACUGCAUUUUGUCCUACAGACUCGUUGAAUAGAAAUUGCUGUAAUUGGACCCUGAUACAAGGGACUAUUAUGAAUUUAUUAAAUUGGACCCUAAUACAAGGGUCUAUUAUGAAUUUAUUCUUGUUUAGUCAGAAAUUUUUAGGUAUAAAAACUUUUGAUAUUUUGAUUCUGAUUUUGAAUUUUU